UGUAACAAAAAUAAUUUCCCCCUGGGAUUAUUAAAGUAUUUCUGAUUCUGAUUCUGAUAUGUUUGUCCGUGCUCUUGGGGCUCUUUAGAGGUGCUGAUGGAUUAAUUACCUUUGGACAGGGCUAGGCUAGCCGUUUAUACCUGUUUCCAGUCCUUAUGCUAAGUUAAGCUAGCUGGCUGCUUUUGGUAGCUUUAUAUUAACCAUACAGACAUGAGGUAUCACUCUUCUUAGCUAAACCUCACCAAUAAAACCAGUUAGCAUUUUUAUAUGUAGCAUAGCAUAUUUCCCAAAACACCAAUGAUCUGGAUGCCUGUCUACAGUACUGGUGCAGAGAGCUGAUACUGUAUCAGACUGAGGCUGAAGAUGUAGUAGACAUGGGCUCUCUGCACAAUGUAAAGAUUUGUAGUUGUCUCUCUGCUUCACAGUACAUGAACAGAAUCUGUGUUCCAUCGGAGGCGAAGCCACUCGUUGCCCCUGUUUUUCCCAUGAUGCACAUGUCAUGGGAACUUUGCGGGCACUCCUGCUGCAUCCCCAGUCAUCCAUGUCUCAUGACUCUUGUUUUAGGUUAAUCAUGUGACACAGUAUGCCAUGAAUAGUAAGGUAAUUGAUCUCAUGCUGUGCCUCAUUAAGCACUUGAAAAUGGCUGUUUGUUCCUGGCUACAGUCUGAGCAGAUGAGUUGUUUGUCCGUGCUCUUAUCUGCGACAGAUAAUAAAUCGUAAAUGUUAAAGAAUCCCACACGAGAACAUGAAAAUGUUUUUGGUGAGAGAAGCGCAUUUGUGACUUUAAUGGAAUUUUUAUUUGUAAUAUUUCAUAAUUUAUCUCAUUCAAACAUACCAGUGAUUUUGAACAAAUAUCACAUGACAGUGAUCACAUGUCACUCCUGAAGUGGCUCCACUGGUCAGGAGGGCGGCAGAGCGGAAGUAAUGUUGAGUCUGUAUUAAGAUGUAAAAGCAUUUCAUUUCAUUCAUCUCACCAUAAAUAAACACUUUGCUGUUAUAUCAUGUUGUCUGAUAAUAGUACAUAUUUUAUAGUUAACACAUAUGGCUACUUACUGAGGGAGAAAAGGGGGGGGGGGGCUAUAGAAUAGGAUUGUGUGUGUGUGUGAACACGUGUGCCUGGUUUUGUUUAAAGAUUUUAACAUCCAUGAUGAUGCACAGUUUAGUUUCUUCCUAACAAAAUGGAUUCAAAAAAACCAAAAAAAUCGCAGGAGGAGAAGAAGGAUGCUGGCGAGGAUUCAUCGUCCUUGCCGUGGACCUAUUUCCGUGCAUGUUGUUACUUGAUAGUUGGCGACGGAGCUCCUCUGAAUCCUCAAUAGCAUCUACGUCCUCUGUCUUCAAGUUACUGCUGGAAUGUCACCGGGCUGCUUUUCCACUUCCCCGCAGCCCUCAGCAGGCUUGAUGAUGGAGAGUGAGGGAGGGAGUUCACAGAGAGACCUGAGAGAAUUGAAACUGGAGCGUCACGCAAUCUCUCUGCAGUACUACCUGCCUCUGCUGACAACAGGCGGCUUCUGGAAGCAGCACUGAUUGUGCAAAUGGAUGUAUGGAGGAUGGACUGAGAAUUGACCUUUGGGAUUAAGAGGAAGUGGGAGGGUGUGUGUCUGAUUCAACAGCUGCCUGAAGGGACAGGUAAUUUAUUAACAGAAAGGAAAGGAGCAGACAGUUCACAACACCUUGACACCGAGGAGGGAAAACCGGCGUCACUUUACUCUCACUCUGACCUUCUGACUACCUGUAAGCCAAUACAAAACGUCCUCCCACCUUCACACACACUUGGAUGUUGUGUCUGUCUGCCACACACACACCGCAAGAGUCCAAGACAGCGUACACAAGGAGUCACAGAGCCUGCAUGCUCCAAGAUCACAUGAAGACAAUCAGCACUUGGCUGCUUUUGCUUAGGUAGUGUUGGUGGCGGUGGUGGUAGGAAGGUGGCGGUCACUCCGACUUAACAACACGUUACAAACUGUGAACAUGGAGCCCCUGGAGGAAUACCACUCUCCGUUUGACUUUGAGCAAGGAGUCAACGCCAGCUACCUCUACCUCUCCCCAGCCUACAGCGACACGCCGCCCAGCUCGCCAGCUGUCAAAACCAGAGGUAAUCACAAGGAGGAAAGGGAGCUGGGCGCAGGAUGUGAGGAGUGUGUUUGUUUAUGUGUGUGUGUGUG